rnacentral:rRNA from 1 species
GACAGAGGGUGCAAACGUUGUUCGGAAUUACUGGGCGUAAAGCGCACGUAGGCGGCUUUGCAAGUUAGAGGUGAAAGCCCGGGGCUCAACUCCGGAAUUGCCUUUAAAACUGCAUCGCUAGAGUUGUGGAGAGGUAAGUGGAAUUCCGAGUGUAGAGGUGAAAUUCGUAGAUAUUCGGAAGAACACCAGUGGCGAAGGCGACUUACUGGACACAUACUGACGCUGAGGUGCGAAAGCGUGGGGAGCAAACAGG